UCGAUCUCUCAUUUCUAUUUGUCUUUUUUUCUCAUUAAUAUUACUCCAUAUAAUAUGUUUACAUUACCAUUGUUGAAAUGUUGAUUGGGACUACAUGGUUGCACAAGUCUUUUCUAAUAUAUAAUAUCACAAAUAUCUUUACUACUUUUUCUUCAUUUUCUUACAAUCUGAGCCUAGUUAUUUUCAGUUUAUAAUUUCAAUCAAGUAUUAAAGAAAGUAUAAGACACUUAAAGGGGCUUAUUAAUCAAUCACUUUCGUUUUUUUUUUUUUUUUGGAAAUUUUAUCAAUCACAAUUUCAAUACUACAUUUGAGAGAACGUGGCACAGUGAUUUAACGAAAUGGACCACUCUACGAAUCACAUGCAAUUGUAUGUGUGAUAAUGAACAAUGAUCGAAGGAUGAUGAAAUCUCAAGUGGGCUAGGCUAGUUUCGAAGCUUUAGGGUUUUUGACAGCUUCAACAAAAUUAAAGAUGGCUAUGUGUGUGGCUAUAUAUCUGAGUGACCAUUUUGGAGUUGUUGGUGUUAUUACCCUUCUCUCGGCAAAUUAACGUGCCUGAUAGGUCACUUGAGGUCCCAUUCUUCCAUCAUUAAUUUCUCACCGUCCGAUCGAUCAUUGCCCCAUACGUAACAUUCCCACUGCAGCUGCAUGGUUCUCUGUUUAACAAAAGAAACUAUAA
rnacentral:lncRNA from 1 species